AUGGUGUGUUGUGUGUGUCUGAUGAAAAAAGUCCCUCCGACCACCAAGUGUCUUGCCCAAAGACACAACAGCAGGAUUCUCUGGGGCGACCCAGGAUCAAAUGGUAAAUGGCCUGUAUUUGAUAUAGCGCCUUCUAGAGUCCUGGAACCCCUCAAGACACUUUACAACAAAAUCAGUCAUUCACCCAUUCACACACACACUCACACACUGGUGGGCAUGAGCUACAAUGUAGCCACAGCUGCCCUGGGGCGCACUGACAGAGGCGAGGCUGCCGAGCACAGGCGCCACCGGUCCCUCCCACCACCACCAGCAGGCAAGGUGGGUUAAGUGUCUUGCCCAAGGACACGACAGCGACAGACUGAGCGGGUCUCGAACCUGCAACCUUCCGAUUACGGGGCGAGCGCUUAACUCCUGUGCAACCGUCGCUCCAAGCCUACAUCCUUCUGAUUAAUGGACAGCCCACUCUACCUGCUGAGCUACUGCUGCCCUUCACUGGCUUCAGUUUAUUAAACAACUCUAGCCAUGUUUUCAAAUGCCGGUGCUGCAGUGUUAGCUCGGCGCAGACUUGGCAACCUCACGGGCUCACAUAAUGUAAACAGUAACUAUGUCCCUCUCUAGUUUUUUUUUGAAAGGAGAAAAACGGACAACCCCCCAGCCAGCUGAGAAGGGAGUAUAAAACUCUUUCUCAUUGCUUUUGUGUUAUAAUACAAAAGCAUUGCACCUUACAAAUAAGAAGCACAUGCCCCACUGCAAAUAAAGUCUAAAUACGUCAAGGAAUGGAAAACAAUUCAUAAAAAUUAGCGGUUAAUCCAAUUGUUCCCUAUUAAGGGACAGAGGAGGAAAAGAAAUCAACCUAAUGAGAAACUGGUGGCUAAAUAACCAUGAUGGCAAUAGCAGCGGGAGCUUCUCUCUGUGCAGCCGUUUGACUCUGGUCACACACACCCAUUAGGUAUUCAUGAACACAGAUGUUGCACGACUCACCAGCCCACUGGCCCAAACACCCCCGGAGAACACCAGGAACCUAAAUGCUUUUCCCAGCGGAACACAGCGUUUGAUCCCAUGCCAAGGAAAAGUGAAGACAUCUUUGGGUUUUCACAGAGUGAGUUUAGAGCAGGAUGAGCAGGACAGCGAAGAGAGGCAUGAAAUGGUGAAAGAAGUGACUAACGAGUGCAAUUUAUUCCCUCCGAGUUGUCGUAAGCAAUGUUCGAAUUUUUAUUACCAAGCCUCGUCUGCUCCUACUCUUGUCGAAAGACUCAACGUGUGAGGAAAAAACUAAAAUCCAUUACUUUGAUUACACAGAGAGUUUUGAACUAAUCGUGUUGUACGGUUUAAAUGUCAGUUAGAGAAGAUUCAUCCUGGGGAUGGAGAUAUGACUCGUUGUGAAUUUUACAUUCCAUUAAAAGCCACAUUCUUGAGUUUGGGUUUAAAAGUUGAAAAUCGAUAUCGUGUUCAAGUGGAAGUCCAGUCAUUUCUUAAUUUUAACCUUGGCCUGAUGGAAAUAUAGACAUAAAAUCAACAACAUUAAACAUAUCCUGUUUUUAAAAUGAUGCCCAAAUUACAGUCCGUUGGAGAGAAUCUUAGAUUAUAAAAUCGCAUUUGUUCAUAUGCAAUUACAGAAAUAAAUAAUACCAAACAUAUUUAUAAUUACUGAGCAGAGUUAAUAGUUCUACUAAUUUACCUUGAUCUGCCUGUUUGGGCCAUUGCUGAUAUCACCAGUGCCAAUCAUACGCCAAUAAGACUUUCCGUGUCCCUUACCCUUCUCAGUGACCUAGUUGUAACGUCCAGCAAUGGUCAGUUUAGGUACUGUUUCAUAGGUACCAUUCAGCAUCUGGUCAAAAAGGAGACACGAGACUGCACGUGCUCCCUUUAAAUCAGCCUGCCUUCGUCACACCAGCUGGAGCUCAGAACCUGCAGCUCUGACAGAAAUAAUGAAAUCAUAACAAUAACAUUCUCUCCUUCCAAGGUCCCUCACAGAGCACCCUUCUUAUCUAAGACUCCUUGCUCACAGAAGACAGAAGAAAGAACUUUUUAAAAUCAUUAAAUGAACAUUUGUUUAUUGCUACUCAUAAUAAUUAUAAAAUAAUGAAAUGUUUCAUUAAUCUAUGUUUCAGCAUGUUUACUUGACAAGGUCAUAACCAUAUUGCACUCACACAAGAACAAGUAAGGUAAAGUUAAAUCCCAUGACAAGUAAAUAACCUUUAUCCCAGAUCAGAGCCUCUGGUAUCGAAGAAGGCGUUUCUGAGAUUCUUGGUAAUAUCCCUCAAACUAGUCAACCUCUGGUUGGCUACACAGUCAUAACACGAGAACAUUAAAACCGGAUCAUUCUGGUGAUUCUUCAGUUCUAGAGAAGCUUCAGGCCGACCACCUCAAGCAAAAACCUCUUUAACCCACCAAAGCUUUUGACACGUCGUCAAAACCUUUUUGAGACGCAAACUACUUCCAACUGUCGUUACCUGGAGAUGACUCUGGACUGACCUGGUCGUACUGCAAGUUAAUCUACGGACUUCGGUCCUUGGGGUCCCCCCCUCCAGUAAAUGCGUCACGGGCUUCCGUAGAAUGAAACAUGACAUCCAAUAAGGCGUUGCCCAGAAACUUGGACCCGCAGUACCCUCAUGUAUUUUAGACCCGAUUUUUAUGGUCGUAUAUUACGAAACUGCCAAUAUUUUUCAAAAACUGGUUAUAUUCAUUAAUUUACAACAACAUGUCACUGAAUAUUUCCAGAGAUUAAUGCUAACAACUACACAUUGUCACUUUAAUCUAGACUUCAUCCUCUAACACACCAAAAAGCUUUGUCUGAAUCAAUGGUCGGUGUUUUUCCUAAAUUUCUAGUAACAAAUUAAGUAUAAUCUAGAUUAAUGUAUGUGCUGAUUUGCACAUUUGAAAUGUUGCACGUCGUGCCCUUCCAAGUUUCUUAUAUUUCUGUUAUUAAAUGGAGACACAAGGAGCAGAAUGAAGGAGAGGUCCCAAAAGAGCCGGAUAAAAGUUUCCAUCUCCUUCAUUCUCAUAACUAUUGAUAGAACAGUGCUCAUCUUCUAUUUAGUGUGCUGGCAAAUUGAUCAUAGAGGGUGGUUAGAGAGGCAGAGGCAGUCAAACAAAGUAGAAAAGAAUGGACUUUCAUAGAUAGUGUUGUUGAUA
ensembl:lncRNA